AAAUUGAAGAGUUUGAUCAUGGCUCAGAUUGAACGCUGGCGGCAGGCCUAACACAUGCAAGUCGAACGGUAACAGGAAGCAGCUUGCUGCUUUGCUGACGAGUGGCGGACGGGUGAGUAAUGUCUGGGAAACUGCCUGAUGGAGGGGGGAUAACUACUGGAAACGGUAGCUAAUACCGCAUAACGUCGCAAGACCAAAGAGGGGGGACCUUCGGGCCUCUUGCCAUCGGAUGUGCCCAGAUGGGAUUAGCUAGUAGGUGGGGUAACGGCUCACCUAGGCGACGAUCCCUAGCUGGUCUGAGAGGAUGACCAGCCACACUGGAACUGAGACACGGUCCAGACUCCUACGGGAGGCAGCAGUGGGGAAUAUUGCACAAUGGGCGCAAGCCUGAUGCAGCCAUGCCGCGUGUAUGAAGAAGGCCUUCGGGUUGUAAAGUACUUUCAGCGGGGAGGAAGGCGAUAAGGUUAAUAACCUUGUCGAUUGACGUUACCCGCAGAAGAAGCACCGGCUAACUCCGUGCCAGCAGCCGCGGUAAUACGGAGGGUGCAAGCGUUAAUCGGAAUUACUGGGCGUAAAGCGCACGCAGGCGGUCUGUCAAGUCGGAUGUGAAAUCCCCGGGCUCAACCCCGGGAACUGCAUUCGAAACUGGCAGGCUAGAGUCUUGUAGAGGGGGGUAGAAUUCCGAGGUGUAGCGGUGAAAUGCGUAGAGAUCUGGAGGAAUACCGGUGGCGAAGGCGGCCCCCCUGGACAAAGACUGACGCUCAGGUGCGAAAGCGUGGGGAGCAAACAGGAUUAGAUACCCUCGGUAGUCCACGCCGUAAACGAUGUCGACUUGGAGGUUGUGCCCUUGAGGCGUGGCUUCCGGAGCUAACGCGUUAAGUCGACCGCCCUGGGGAGUACGGCCGCAAGGUUAAAACUCAAAUGAAUUGACGGGGGCCCGCACAAGCGGUGGAGCAUGUGGUUUAAUUCGAUGCAACGCGAAGAACCUUACCUACUCUUGACAUCCAGAGAACUUUCCAGAGAUGGAUUGGUGCCUUCGGGAACUCUGAGACAGGUGCUGCAUGGCUGUCGUCAGCUCGUGUUGUGAAAUGUUGGGUUAAGUCCCGCAACGAGCGCAACCCUUAUCCUUUGUUGCCAGCGGUUAGGCCGGGAACUCAAAGGAGACUGCCAGUGAUAAACUGGAGGAAGGUGGGGAUGACGUCAAGUCAUCAUGGCCCUUACGAGUAGGGCUACACACGUGCUACAAUGGCGCAUACAAAGAGAAGCGACCUCGCGAGAGCAAGCGGACCUCAUAAAGUGCGUCGUAGUCCGGAUUGGAGUCUGCAACUCGACUCCAUGAAGUCGGAAUCGCUAGUAAUCGUGGAUCAGAAUGCCACGGUGAAUACGUUCCCGGGCCUUGUACACACCGCCCGUCACACCAUGGGAGUGGGUUGCAAAAGAAGUAGGUAGCUUAACCUUCGGGAGGGCGCUUACCACUUUGUGAUUCAUGACUGGGGUGAAGUCGUAACAAGGUAACCGUAGGGGGAACCUGCGGUUGGAUCACCUCCUUA
rnacentral:rRNA from 1 species